rnacentral:rRNA from 1 species
UACAGAGGUGGCAAGCGUUGUUCGGAAUUACUGGGCGUAAAGCGUGCGCAGGCGGUUCGUUGUGUCGGCGGUGAAAGCCCCGGGCUUAACCUGGGAAUGGCCGUUGAAACUGGCGAACUGGAGUGUGGCAGAGGGGGGUGGAAUUCCGCGUGUAGCAGUGAAAUGCGUAGAGAUGCGGAGGAACACCGAUGGCGAAGGCAGCCCCCUGGGCUAACACUGACGCUCAGGCACGAAAGCGUGGGGAGCAAACAGG